AUGCUACAGUCUGUGCAUCUCGACCACAUCCACGUCCACACGCUACAGUCUGUGCAUCUCGACCACAUCGAUGUCCACACACGCUACAGUCUGUGCAUCUCGACCACAUCGACGUCCACACGCGCUACAGUCUGUGCAUCUCGACCACAUCGACGUCCACACGCUACAGUCUGUGCAUCUCGACCACAUCGACGUCCACACGCACUAGAGUCUGUGCAUCUAGACCACAUCCAUGUCUACACGCUACAGUCUGUGCAUCUCGACCACAUCCAUGUCCACACGCUACAGUCUGUGCAUCUCGACCACAUCCAUGUCCACACGCUACAGUCUGUGCAUCUCGGCCACAUCGACGUCCACACGCUACAGUCUGUGCAUCUCGGCCACAUCGACGUCCACACGCGCUACAGUCUGUGCAUCUCGGCCACAUCGACGUCCACACGCACUACAGUCUGCGAGACAUCAGCACUGGGGCAAUGGGGCAGAGCGGUAGAGGACCUGACGUCUCACAGCGGCCCACCAGCCUGCAGUCGUCUCCAAACAGAAAGUCCAGUCUUUUUUUUUCACUAA
rnacentral:lncRNA from 1 species